rnacentral:rRNA from 1 species
CCGGAAUAUAUGGCUAGUGGCGAACGGGUGAGUAAUACAUGAGGACGUAUCCUCGAGAGGGGGACAACAUUGGGAAACCGAUGCUAAUACCCCAUAAGCCGAGAGGUAAAAGGGAGCGAUCCGCUUGAGGAGCGGCUCAUGUCCUAUCAGCUAGUUGGUGAGGUAACGGCUCACCAAGGCGAAGACGGGUAGCCGGCCUGAGAGGGUGACCGGCCACACUGGAACUGAGAGACGGUCCAGACUCCUACGGGAGGCAGCAGUGGGGAAUAUUGGGCAAUGGGGGCAACCCUGACCCAGCGACGCCGCGUGAGGGAAGAAGGCCUUAGGGUCGUAAACCUCUGUUGUGUGGGAAGAAGGAAGUGACGGUACCACACGAGGAAGUCCCGGCUAACUACGUGCCAGCAGCCGCGGUAAUACGUAGGGGACGAGCGUUGUCCGGAAUUACUGGGCGUAAAGGGCGCGUAGGCGGUCAUUUAAGUCAGCUGUGAAAUGGUCCGGCUCAACCGGAUCAUGCGGUUGAAACUGGGAUGACUGGAGUGCUGGAGAGGCAAGUGGAAUUCCCAGUGUAGCGGUGAAAU